GACGGAGGAUGCAAGCGUUAUCCGGAAUGAUUGGGCGUAAAGCGUCCGCAGGUGGCAGUUCAAGUCUGCUGUCAAAGACCGGGGCUUAACUUCGGAAAGGCAGUGGAAACUGAACAGCUAGAGUAUGGUAGGGGCAGAGGGAAUUCCUGGUGUAGCGGUGAAAUGCGUAGAGAUCUGGAAGAACAUCGGUGGCGAAGGCGCUCUGCUGGACCAUAACUGACACUCAGGGACGAAAGCUAGGGGAGCGAAUGGG
rnacentral:rRNA from 1 species